GGGGCGAGGGCGGACGCUGUGGCUCCUGCGGUAGAGAGGGCGGGGCGGACGCCCAGCUAUUGUUGCGCACCUGGCAGCAAGAGGGUGCGGAAGGACCUCUCUGUCCUGGUACACUGAGGCAUGAAGGGAACCAUGGCCGGGAGGCAGAGCUACUCCAGAGAGAAGGCAGCGGCGGCCUGAGCCCCUGUAAAUGUUAUAUAUGUACUUUUUUUACUAUGUGGCAUCGAAGCCUGUGGACAUUUUCCCAGUCCAGAGCCUCUGUUUCGGACAGACUGCAAGACUCAACAAGUGACGUGCUGAGCAAACCCUGAGAGAAGAGGUCUGUUUAGGGACACAGGAAGCCAAGUACAGAAAAAGCAAAAGAAUUAGCAUGGCUUUUUCAAUGGAUGUCUAUUUUACAGGACUGGCUGUAGAUUAUUGUUAUAGCUUUAAAUAAAAGGAUAGUUUUCGUCUCGGC